rnacentral:rRNA from 1 species
CGGUAAGCUGCGAGGAAGGUGGGGAUGACGUCAAAUCAGCACGGCCCUUACGUCCAGGGCUACACACGUGUUACAAGUGGCCGGUACAGAGGGCAGCCACCCCGCGAGGGGACGCGAAUCCCGAAAGCCGGUCCCAGUUCGGAUCGGAGUCUGCAACCCGACUCCGUGAAGCUGGAUUCGCUAGUAAUCGCGCAUCAGCCACGGCGCGGUGAAUACGUUCCCGGGCCUU